UACGUAGGGGGCAAGCGUUGUCCGGAAUCAUUGGGCGUAAAGCGCGUGUAGGCGGCUCGGUAAGUCCGCUCUGAAAAGUCCAGGGCUCAACCCUGGGAUGCGGGUGGAUACUGCCGGGCUCGAGUCCGGAAGAGGCGAGUGGAAUUCCCGGUGUAGCGGUGAAAUGCGCAGAUAUCGGGAGGAACACCAAUGGCGAAGGCAGCUCGCUGGGACGUGACUGACGCUGAGACGCGAAAGCGUGGGGAGCAAACAGG
rnacentral:rRNA from 1 species